AUUGAACGCUAGCGGGAUGCCUUACACAUGCAAGUCGAACGGCAGCACGGACUUCGGUCUGGUGGCGAGUGGCGAACGGGUGAGUAAUGUAUCGGAACGUGCGCAGUAGCGGGGGAUAACUACGCGAAAGCGUAGCUAAUACCCGAUACGCCCUUAGGGGGAAAGCAGGGGAUCGCAAGACCUUGCACUAAUGGAGCGGCCGAUAUCGGGUUAGCUAGUUGGUGAGGGAAUGGCUCACCAAGGGCGCGAUCCGUAGGUGGUUUGGGAGGACGACCAGCCACACUGGGACUGAGACACGGCCCCGACUCCUAAGGGAGGCAGCAGUGGGGAAUUUUGGACAAUGGGGGAAACCCUGAUCCAGCCAUCCCGCGUGUGCGAUGAAGGCCUUCGGGUUGUAAAGCACUUUUGGCAGGAAAGAAACGGCGCGUGCUAAUACCAUGCGCAACUGACGGUACCUGCAGAAUAAGCACCGGCUAACUACGUGCCAGCCGCCGCAGUAA
rnacentral:rRNA from 1 species